rnacentral:rRNA from 1 species
UACGGGGGGGGCAAGCGUUGUUCGGAAUUACUGGGCGUAAAGGGCUCGUAGGUGGCCAACUAAGUCUGACGUGAAAUCCCCAGGCUCAACUUGGGAACUGCGUCUGAUACUGGAUGGCUUGAAUUCGGGAGAGGGAUGCAGAAUUCCAGGUGUAGCGGUGAAAUGCGUAGAUAUCUGGAGGAAUACCGGUGGCGAAGGCGGCAUCCUGGACCGAGAUUGACACUGAUGAGCGAAAGCGAGGGGAGCAAACGGG